AUUGAACGCUGGCGGCAUGCCUUACACAUGCAAGUCGAACGGCAGCACGGGGCAACCUGGUGGCGAGUGGCGAACGGGUGAGUAAUGUAUCGGAACGUGCCCAGUCGCGGGGGAUAACGUAGUGAAAAUUACGCUAAUACCGCAUACGAUCUAUGGAUGAAAGCGGGGAUCGCAAGACCUCGCGCGAUUGGAGCGGCCGAUAUCAGAUUAGGUAGUUGGUGGGGUAAAGGCCCACCAAGCCAACGAUCUGUAGCUGGUCUGAGAGGACGACCAGCCACACUGGAACUGAGACACGGUCCAGACUCCUACGGGAGGCAGCAGUGGGGAAUUUUGGACAAUGGGCGAAAGCCUGAUUCAGCCAUUCCGCGUGCAGGAUGAAGGCCCUCGGGUUGUAAACUGCUUUUGUACAGAACGAAAAGGUUUCUACUAAUACUAGGAGCUCAUGACGGUACUGUAAGAAUAAGCACCGGCUAACUACGUGCCAGCAGCCGCAGUAAAAC
rnacentral:rRNA from 1 species